CUGGUGGAAAGACCAUCAAUGGUUCUCUGAACAAUUGGUUUUUAAUUAUUAUUAGGUCUUUCCACUUUUCCGUGGAAAGACCUAUUGGAUUUCUUCUGAUUAUUAUUAUAAUUAUUUUUUUUUUUUUUUUUCUUCCGCCUAAUUUUUUUCCUUCGCUGUUUUUUUGUUUCGCAAGAUGUCGCUUAGAUUUUGGGAAUAUGAUAUCAAACAGUUUAUAGCUUUUGAAACCAACUCUGCUUAACCGAAUACUUUCCCAAAAAAGAGUUAUCUCCCCGAACACUGUUUUUCUUGUUAUCUCUAAGGCUUCGCAACCGUAUAAGAAACCGACAAAUUUAUUUUUCCAAAUUGCUCGUUAUAUCCUCAGGAUGUUCUGUUUUAUUUUGACCGAAGCCGUAUAUAGAUUCCAUAUGAGAGUUAUCCCCCUUUCAUGUUUGAUAUAAGAAUUUGCAUUUCUAACUGGUAAACCAUAAGUGAUAGAGACCUAGGGUCUUUUGAUUUGAGGUCCUUGGUCCAAAAAAAUGAAAAUAAGGUCAAGGUCAAAGGUCAAGGUCAUAUUAUAAAUUUUGAUUUUGGCUUAUUUUCACUUAUUUUCAAAAGCCGUAUAACUUAUCGACAAAUUAUUUUUACUAAAUUGUUAGUUGCGACAUGUCGUAACUUAUAAAUUUUGGUUGAAAGGGUGCGUAGACAAUAAAUGGGAGUUUUCGCCCCUCUUAUGUUUAGCAUUAUGCGUAAAGUGAUAUUACUCAUAAACCAUACAUAUUAAGGAACUAGUGUCUUUAGGUUUGAGAUCCUUAGUCUAUGACCUUGAAAUUGAGGUCAAGGUCAUAGGUUAAUUGGACGGUCUAGAUUUUGACCUUUGCUCCAAAUUCAUAUUUAGACAUCAUAAAGUCAUAGGAACUGACAUAUCAACUGAAUUUUUAAUAUUUUCACAUCAAAAUAUGUUGUAAGUGGUGGAAAGACCAUCAAUGGUUCUCUGAACAAUUGGUUUUUAAUUAUUUUUCUAUUUUUUUUUCUUCCGCCUAAUUUUUUUCCUUCGCUGUUUUUUUUGUUUCGAAAGAUGUUGCUUAGAUAUUUGAAAUAUGAUAUCGAACAGUCUAUAUGCUUUUGAAACCAACUCUGCUUAACAGAAUACUUUCCCAUAUAAGAGUUAUCUCCCUGAACACUGUUUUUCUUGUUAUCUCUAAGGCUUCGCAACCAUAUAAGAAACCGACAAAUUUAUUUUUCCAAAUUGCUCGUUAUAUCCUCAGGAUGUUCUGUUUUAUUUUGACCGAAGCCGUAUCGAGAUUCCAUAUGAGAGUUAUUUCCCCUUUUGUAUUUGAAAUUUUGAAAUGUAUUCUAAACUGGAAAACCAUAAGUGAUAGAGACCUGGGGGCUUUUGAUUUGAGAUCCUUGGUCCAAAAAAAUGAAAAUAAGGUCAAGGUCAAAGGUCAAGGUCAUAUUCUAAAUUUUGAUUUUAGCUUAUUUUCACUCAUUUUCAUUAACCUUAUAAGAUAUCGACAAAUUAUUUUUACUAAAUUGUUAGUUG
rnacentral:lncRNA from 1 species